rnacentral:lncRNA from 1 species
UAAACAUCUUGUCUGUACUUCAUGGGGUAGCAGUGGGGGAUUGGUUCCUGAAAGCUUUUGAGUUUUGCUGUAAGAAAAUUAAUCUUGCAGCAGAGUGCAAUAAAAGGAGGAAGGAAACACAGUUACUAGUCUAGUGCCUCCUGCAAGCCCAAAGUCUUCACCAACAUUCAGGUUCCACCCAGAGACCACAUUCUCACUGCCUUCUGUGGGUCACCUCCCCCUGUCCUUUUGGGAAUCUUCUCCUUCAAUCCCAUAGAGAACCAACACAAGAGGGAAAGAGGAAGAGUCGGAGCAGAGUCUCUUCCUAAAAGCCACCAUCUGUGGGCGUGAGUGUCUUUGGUCCACGGAUUUCUCCUAAGACCCAUGAUGAUUUUGAUGAGAGAGUAUUGAUUUUAUGGUUCAUUGGAUUUAAGACAAAAUAAAAGAAGGAGGUGGAGAAGAAGAAAGGACAGAGACUAUAUGUGGACUGCAAAGUUUAAAAUAUUUACUAGCUGGCCCCUUAUGGAAAACGUUUGCUGAGCCUGGAGCUACAGGGGAGAGAAAAGUUAACUGGAGGCCGAGGACAAUGGUUCCUUCUCUUUGCUCUUUAGGCUAGCAAGCCAGAUGUGUCAACAGGUUCUCUUUGACUGGCAUUCACAUGUCACUCAAUCAGAAAGGAGUUUAAAUUUUUACUAGCUUAUACCAACCCCACCCAGCGAAAUUAAGUAUGAGGAAGAGUUUGCUGAAACACUGCGCCAGAACCCCUAAGUCAGGACACUCGGAGGCUGUUGACCUUGACAAAUUGAAAUGGCAAGCAAUAGGAUAUAUUGGAGUAUAUGAGGAAGCCAUUUGGUGUAAACCUAAUUCGGCCUGACUUUGUUUUCCCAAAAGGGCCUGACUGUGGCCGUUGAGCACACAUUGUAUAUCUGCUUUAAAACAUUUCCUAUGGUAAGAACAAAUGGCCUUAAGAUAAAGGUGCAACUUCCCCCCAUAUUGGCAUUUCCUUAAGGAUAAGCGUCUUUCCUUAGGCUAGGAACUGAUUGCUGCGCUCACCUUUGACCACCCAGCUCACCUGUGACCACCCAGCUCGAGACAACAGACCUGCCACCCUGCUGUGUUCACCGAGACAGCAGACCUACCUGCUGUUUCCAUCAAUCGCUGUGCCGACAGAGCAGUCUCGCAACUGUUGUAAAAAGGACAUUUCAAUCAUAUGUGAAACAUCCUGUUUGGGGGUGUAUAACUACUCUGUGCAUCUCACUUCUUUGGUGCCCUUUCUUCCUUCGGGAAGAAAGGCCCCGGGCCAUGGUCCUCAGAUUUUAGCUCAGAAUAAACUCACCCAAAUUUUCAUUUAUAGAUUGGUUAUGGGUUAUUUUCGUCAACAACAUCAAUCAUGCUAUGAACUGGACUUUUCAGAAAUAUAAGAAG